GUCCCCGUGGCACAACUGGAUAGCGCGACGCCCUCCUAAGGCGUAGGUUGCAGGUUCGAUUCCUGCCGGGGACACCA
rnacentral:tRNA from 1 species